rnacentral:rRNA from 1 species
UACGAAGGGGGCUAGCGUUGCUCGGAAUCACUGGGCGUAAAGCGCACGUAGGCGGAUACUUAAGUUAGGGGUGAAAUCCCAGAGCUCAACUCUGGAACUGCCUUUAAUACUGGGUAUCUCGAGUCCGGAAGAGGUGAGUGGAAUUCCGAGUGUAGAGGUGAAAUUCGUAGAUAUUCGGAGGAACACCAGUGGCGAAGGCGGCUCACUGGUCCGGUACUGACGCUCAGGCACGAAAGCGUGGGGAGCAAACAGG